UUAAAUUAAUAAGGGCGUAUGGUGGAUGCCUUGGCAUUAGAAGACGAUGAAGGACGCGACAAACAGCGAUAUGCUUCGGGGAGCAGUAAGUAUGCUUUGAUCCGGAGAUCUCCGAAUGAGGAAACUCACUUGUAGUUAUGUACAAGUAUCAUAUACUGAAUUCAUAGGUAUAUGAGGACAACCCUGUGAACUGAAACAUCUAAGUAGCAGGAGGAAAAGAAAGAAAAAUCGAUUACCUUAGUAGUGGCGAGCGAAACGGUAAGAGCCCAAACCAGUCUUAGGACUGGGGUUGUAGGACACUAUAUACGGAGUUACAAAAUUUCUUGAUAGCUGAACAUUUUGGAAAAUUUGGCUGGAAAGGGUGAAAGCCCCGUAAGCGAAAUCAUGAAAUCUCUAUAGUGUAUCCUGAGUACGGCGGGACACGAGUAAUCUUGUCGGAAUCCACGGGGACCAUCCCGUAAGGCUAAAUACUUUCUAAUGACCGAUAGUGAACAAGUACCGUGAGGGAAAGGUGAAAAGAACCCCGGGAGGGGAGUGAAAUAGAAUACUGAAACCAUAUGCUUACAAAAAGUUCGAGCCCGUUAAUGGGUGAGAGCGUGCCUUUUGCAGAAUGAGCCGGCGAGUUAUGGUAUUGUGCAAGGUUAAGUGGAAAACACGGAGCCGAAGCGAAAGCGAGUCUUAAUAGGGCGAUUUAGUACAAUGCUGUAGACCCGAAACCGAGUGAUCUAGCCAUGAGCAGGUUGAAGUAAGGGUGAAACCUUAUGGAGGACCGAACCAGGACACGUUGUAAAGUGUUUGGAUGACUUGUGGUUAGCGGUGAAAUUCCAAUCGAACUCGGAGAUAGCUGGUUCUCCCCGAAAUAGGUUUAGGCCUAGCCUCGGAUAAUGCUACCUGGAGGUAGAGCACUGAAUAUGCAAUGGCCCCGUCUAGGGGUACUGAGUGUAAUCAACCUCCGAAUGCCAGGCAAGUAGAUCCGGGAGUCAGUGUAUGAGGUGAUAACGUCCAUACGCGAGAGGAAAAUAAUCCAGACCGUCAGCUAAGGUCCCAAAAUAUAUGUUAAGUGGGAAAGGAUGUGGAGUCGCACGAACAGCUAGGAGGUUGGCUUAGAAGCAGCCAUCCUUUAAAGAGUGCGUAAUAGCUCACUAGUCGAGUAACUCUGCGCCGAAGAUGUACCGGGGCUAAACAUAUUACCGAAGCUACGGAUUCAUGUUUACAUGAAUGGUAGGGGAGCGUUCUAAGGGCGCUGAAGAUAGACCGUGAGGACUAUUGGAGCGCUUAGAAGUGAGAAUGCCGGCGUGAGUAACGUAAGGUAGGUGAGAAUCCUACCCACCGUUUGACCAAGGUUUCCAGGGUAAAGUUCGUCUUCCCUGGGUUAGUCAGGACCUAAGGCAAGGCCGAGAGGCGUAGUCGAUGGACAACAGGUUUAUAUUCCUGUACUACUUAUAUGACUGAUGGAGUGACGGAGAAGGAUAGGAGGAUCCUGUUAUUGGAUUCAGGUCUAAGCACAAAGGUUGAUGCAUUGGCAAAUCCGUGACAUCGAUAAGACUGAAGUGUGAUGGCGACGUAUUCUACGGAAUACUAAGUCCUCUGACUCCAUGCUUCCAAGAAAAGCUUCUAAAGAUAUUGUAUAAGUACCUGUACCGCAAACCAACACAGGUGGUCAAGGAGAGUAUCCUAAGGUGAGCGAGAGAACUAUGGUUAAGGAACUCGGCAAAAUUACCCCGUAACUUAGGGAGAAGGGGAGGUCUGUUCUGCAGACCCGCAGUGAAUAGGCCCAGGCAACUGUUUACCAAAAACACAGGUCUCUGCUAAAGCGUAAGCUGAUGUAUAGGGGCUGACGCCUGCCCAGUGCUGGAAGGUUAAGAGGAUUUGUUAGAUGGACGUAAGUCGAUAACAUCGAAGCAUUGAAUUGAAGCCCCAGUGAACGGCGGCCGUAACUAUAACGGUCCUAAGGUAGCGAAAUUCCUUGUCAGGUAAGUUCUGACCCGCACGAAAG
rnacentral:rRNA from 1 species